AACGAACGUUGGCGGCGUGGAUGAGGCAUGCAAGUCGCGCGUGAAAGUUCCUUCGGGAGCGAGUAAAGCGGCGGACGGGUGAGCAAGACGUACUCAAGCUGCCCACGAGACGGGGAUAACCGCGGGAAACCGUGGCUAAUACCCGAUGUUUCGCGGACACUGCAUGGUGUUCAUGGCAAACGGUGGGGACCCUUCGGGGCCUGCUGCUCGUGGAUGCGAUUACGGCCUAUCAGCUAGUUGGUGGGGUGAUGGCCUACCAAGGCGACGACGGGUAGCCGGCCUGAGAGGGUGGUCGGCCACACUGGGACUGAGACACUGCCCAGACUCCUACGGGAGGCUGCAGUCGAGAAUCUUCCGCAAUGGGCGAAAGCCUGACGGAGCGACGCCGCGUGUAGGAU
rnacentral:rRNA from 1 species